rnacentral:rRNA from 1 species
GACAGAGGGUGCGAACGUUGCUCGGAAUUACUGGGCGUAAAGCGCGCGCAGGUGGUCCGGUAAGUCGGGUGUGAAAGCCCUGGGCUCAACCCAGGAAGUGCGCACGAAACUACCGGGCUGGAGGGCUGAAGGGGAGAGUGGAAUUCCCGGUGUAGAGGUGAAAUUCGUAGAGAUCGGGAGGAACACCAGUGGCGAAGGCGACUCUCUGGGCAGUACCUGACACUGAGGCGCGAAAGCGUGGGGAGCAAACAGG